rnacentral:rRNA from 1 species
UGGGGAAUAUUGCACAAUGGGCGAAAGCCUGAUGCAGCAACGCCGCGUGAGUGAUGAAGGCCUUCGGGUUGUAAAGCUCUGUCUUUUGGGACGAUAAUGACGGUACCAAAGGAGGAAGCCACGGCUAACUACGUGCCAGCAGCAGCGGUAAUACGUAGGUGGCAAGCGUUGUCCGGAUUUACUGGGCGUAAAGGAUGCGUAGGCGGAUUUUUAAGUGAGAUGUGAAAUACCCGGGCUUAACUUGGGUGCUGCAUUUCAAACUGGGAAUCUAGAGUGCGGGAGAGGAGAAUGGAAUUCCUAGUGUAGCGGUGAAAUGCGUAGAGAUUAGGAAGAACACCAGUGGCGAAGGCGAUUCUCUGGACCGUAACUGACGCUGAGGCAUGAAAGCGUGGGUAGCAAACAGGAUUAGAUACCCUGGUAGUCCACGCCGUAAACGAUGAGUACUAGGUGUAGGAGGUAUCGACCCCUUCUGUGCCGCAGUUAACACAAUAAGUACUCCGCCUGGGAAGUACGAUCGCAAGAUUAAAACUCAAAUGAAUUGAC